GACGAACGCUGGCGGCGUGCCUAAUACAUGCAAGUCGAGCGGACUUGAUGGAGCUUGCUCCUGAUAGUCAGCGGCGGACGGGUGAGUAACACGUGGGCAACCUGCCUGUAAGACUGGGAUAACUUCGGGAAACCGGAGCUAAUACCGGAUACGUUCUUUUCUCGCAUGAGAGAAGAUGGAAAGACGGUUUCGGCUGUCACUUACAGAUGGGCCCGCGGCGCAUUAGCUAGUUGGUGGGGUAAUGGCCCACCAAGGCAACGAUGCGUAGCCGACCUGAGAGGGUGAUCGGCCACACUGGGACUGAGACACGGCCCAGACUCCUACGGGAGGAAGCAGUAGGGAAUCUUCCGCAAUGGACGAAAGUCUGACGGAGCAACGCCGCGUGAGUGAAGAAGGUUUUCGGAUCGUAAAACUCUGUUGUUAGGGAAGAACAAGUACCGGAGUAACUGCCGGUACCUUGACGGUACCUAACCAGAAAGCCACGGCUAACUACGUGCCAGCAGCCGCAGUAAGAC
rnacentral:rRNA from 1 species